rnacentral:rRNA from 1 species
AACGAACGCUGGCGGCGUGCCUAACACAUGCAAGUCGAACGGAAGUAAGGAGCUUGCUCUUUACUUUAGUGGCGCACGGGUGAGUAACGCGUAGAUAAUCUGCCCGACGAUCCGGGAUAACAGUUCGAAAGGACUGCUAAUACCGGAUAAGCCCACGUGGUCUUUGGACCGUGCGGGAAAAGGGGGGGACCUUCGGGCCUUCUGUCGUCGGAUGAGUCUGCGUACCAUUAGCUAGUUGGUAGGGUAAAGGCCUACCAAGGCGACGAUGGUUAGCUGGUCUGAGAGGAUGAUCAGCCACACUGGAACUGAGACACGGUCCAGACUCCUACGGGAGGCAGCAGUGGGGAAUUUUGCGCAUGGGCGAAAGCCUGACGCAGCAACGCCGCGUGAGUGAUGAAGGCUUUCGGGUCGUAAAGCUCUGUCAGGGGGAAAGAAGUGUAUUGUGGCUAAUAUCCACGAUACUUGACGGUACCCCCAAAGGAAGCACCGGCUAACUCCGUGCCAGCAGCCGCCGUAAUAC